rnacentral:misc_RNA from 1 species
UUAACCUUGUACCAAACACUUCCUUAGAGUAAAGCUCUCUCUUGAGGAAGCAGCAUAGUGUGAUAAUGUACACAAUGUUUUGUCCAGACCAAAAAAUAUGAUCAAUAGAUUGACUACUACUACCACACAUGAUCUACAAAAAUUGAUGCAUUAAUGACUGUAGCAAAGGUUGUUAGUAUCAACCAAGAUGAAGAGGUUAUCCAUGUAAAUUAAAGGAUAAUAGCCUCAAGUGAAGAAAGAUGCAGAAUCACCUCAAUCCCCAAGUAAUUGAGAUCAGCUAAAUAAAUCAUUCUCCUCCAUUCACUUGAGAAGCACCAUUGAAA